rnacentral:rRNA from 1 species
UACAGAGGUCUCAAGCGUUGUUCGGAUUCAUUGGGCGUAAAGGGUGUGUAGGUGGCGCGCUAAGUCGGGUGUGAAAUUUCGGAGCUUAACUCCGAAACUGCAUUCGAUACUGGCGUGCUUGAGGACUGGAGAGGAGACUGGAAUUCAUGGUGUAGCAGUGAAAUGCGUAGAUAUCGAGAGGAACACCUGCGGCGAAGGCGGGUUGCUGGGCUGACACUGACGCUGAUGCGCGAAAGCUAGGGGAGCGAACGGG